UGAUGAUUGUUGGUGCGCGCAGAGCAAAGCGGGCGCGAUGGUGGCGGCUGUGUGCGUGCGUGCGUGCGGCCUCCCUGGCCCUGCUCCCGCUCCCUUUUAGCGCGGGCGCGGCGCUCCGGCGCUCCGAGUGGCGAGGGGGGAUGGAUCGUGGUCGUGGGUGGA